CCGCGGUUAUACGAGAGACCCUAGUUGAUAUAUACGGCGUAAAGAGUGGUUUGGGGAACACAUUAAAUAAAGCCGAAGGCCCCCCAAGCCGUCACACGCACUCCGGAGGCACGAAGCCCUAGUACGAAGGUAGCUUUAUAAAUACCCGACGCCACGAAAGCUAAGAAACA
rnacentral:rRNA from 1 species